rnacentral:rRNA from 1 species
AACGAACGCUGGCGGCAUGCCUAACACAUGCAAGUCGAACGAGACCUUCGGGUCUAGUGGCGCACGGGUGCGUAACGCGUGGGAACCUGCCCUUAGGUUCGGAAUAACUCCCCGAAAGGGGUGCUAAUACCGGAUAAUGUCUUCGGACCAAAGAUUUAUCGCCUUUGGAUGGGCCCGCGUUGGAUUAGCUAGUUGGUAGGGUAAAAGCCUACCAAGGCGACGAUCCAUAGCUGGUCUGAGAGGAUGAUCAGCCACACUGGGACUGAGACACGGCCCAGACUCCUCGGGGAGGCAGCAGGGGGGAAUAUGGGAAAAUGGGCGAAAGCCUGAUCCAGCAAGGCCGGGGGGGUGAUGAAGGCCUUAGGGUUGUAAAGCUCUUUUACCCGGGAUGAAAAUGACAGUACCGGGAGAAUAAGCCCCGGCUAACUCCGU